UACGUAGGGGGCAAGCGUUGUCCGGAAUUAUUGGGCGUAAAGAGCGUGUAGGCGGUCCGGUAAGUCAGCUGUGAAAGUCAGGGGCUCAACCCUUGAAUGCCGGUUGAUACUGUCGGGCUAGAGUCCGGAAGAGGCGAGUGGAAUUCCUGGUGUAGCGGUGAAAUGCGCAGAUAUCAGGAGGAACACCAAUGGCGAAGGCAGCUCGCUGGGACGGUACUGACGCUGAGGCGCGAAAGCGUGGGGAGCAAACAGG
rnacentral:rRNA from 1 species